CCUACGGGAGGCAGCAGUAGGGAAUAUUGCUCAAUGGGGGAAACUCUGAAGCAGCAACGCCGCGUGGAGGAUGAAGGUUUUCGGAUUGUAAACCCCUUUUGUUAGAGAAGAUAAUGACGGUAUCUAACGAAUAAGCACCGGCUAACUCCGUGCCAGCAGCCGCGGUAAUACGGAGGGUGCAAGCGUUACUCGGAAUCACUGGGCGUAAAGAGCGCGUAGGCGGGAUAGCAAGUCAGAUGUGAAAUCCUAUGGCUUAACCAUAGAACUGCAUGUGAAACUGUUAGUCUAGAGUAUGGGAGAGGUAGGUGGAAUUCUUGGUGUAGGGGUAAAAUCCAUAGAGAUCAAGAAGAAUACUCAUUGCGAAGGCGGCCUGCUAGAACAUAACUGACGCUGAUGCGCGAAAGCGUGGGGAGCAAACAGGAUUAGAUACCCGUGUAGUC
rnacentral:rRNA from 1 species